AUGGAUUUUGCGGCGAUGAAGCGGCGGGAACUGCAGGCGCUCUGCAAGGAGCACGGCCUCAAGGCCAACGGAUCCAACGCCGACCUGGUCGCCCGCCUCGCCGCCAAGCUCUCGAUUUCUGGCGGUGCGGAGGAGGAUGCGGUCGGCGUCGUUGUGGGGAAGGGGUGUUUGAAGCGAUCGUUCGGCGGCGCUAGCGGUGGGGAUUCGGAUGCGGCCAAGAAGGUGACGUUUGUGUUGGAGGAAGAGGAGGAGGCGGAGGUGGGUGGCAGACGCCUCUUGUUGUCGCCUGUUGUUGCCAGGACGAGGGGUAGGCCGAGGGCCGCGGAGGCUCUCUCUCGCGCCCAAGAAAGUGGAGGGGAGCGUUGGAGAACGCGUUCCCAAGUUGGUUGUGAUUCUGCUGACGAAACUGAUGCUGGACAGGCAGGUGCAGAUGUUGUGACGAGGCGACACAGGAGGAAUGCGGCGAAUUUGGGUGCAGGUGAUGUGGUUGAGAGGGUAGCUGGAGCUGUAGGCCGGAAAACCUCUGCCAAAGCUGAGCAACAAGAGCUGGACGCUGGAGAAGCAGUUGGUAGGAAGCAUCAGCUGAAGCGGAAGACCAGCGAGAAUGACGCUGACAAUGUAGAUGUCAGUGUGCAAGUUGGAGUUUCUUGUAGAAGCACAAGGUCUAGUGCUGUUCAGUCUGAGCCUGCUGCCGCACCGUCUCCUGUUGUUCACAACAAAAGAGGGAGGAAGAAGGCGGGAGAUCUGAAGGAACAAGAUCGUGUCAAGGAGCAACCUACUGAAAUUCAACAUGUUGGUAGAACUCUAAGAUCUGGAUUGGUGGUGGCCGGCCCACCGUUGCCUACUGUUUCUGAAAAUAAGAGAAGUAGGUCAAAGGUGCCGGAAGGCGAAACUGCUGUGGAGAAGGUUGCCGAGGUGGAAAUAUCUGGUAGGACUACAAGAUCAAGCUCAGUACCAGCUGCUGCGACGUCACCCAUUGUCGUUGCGAAGAAGAGGAGAAAAACCAAGAAUGUCAACUCGGAUGAAGGGCAACAUACGGUUCCAGAUGUAUCAAAUGAUGCUCCAGUUACAAGGGUCUUGAGGAAUAGAGCUAUUCAGACAAUUGGCAGUACUGACUUGAAGGUAGCUCGCCCAACCAUGCUCAAUGCCGCCAAAGACGGCGUAGAAGAUGGUGUGGCUAAGCAAGAUGGGCAUGUGGGGUCCAAAAAGAGGAAAAUGUCGAAUCGCAGGGCUACAGUAGCCACAGAUGGCGGUGAAAUCCCAUUUUCUGAUAGCAGUGGUAAGGCUUCUGCUAUGGACAUGCAUGUAGACCUACCUGGGCCUGUGAGAAGAUCGAUGCGGAAAUCUGUUGUUCCAUCGUUUCUUGAGCACGAAACCAAAGGUAUGCAUGGAGAUGUGGAGAUGAAAGAAACAGUGACAAAACCUGUUGGGGGAUCAACCUGGCGAUCUGUUGCCCCAGUUAUACUCGAGAAAGAGUCCAAGGGUCUCACAAAACCUGUGGAGAGCAAAGAAACAGUGACAAAACCUGUUGGGCGAUCAACCCGGCGAUCUGUUGCCACAGUUAUACUUGAGAAAGAGUGCAAGGGUCUCCCAAAAGAAAUGAUUCCUCAAGUGCAUGUUAAGCGACAAACAAAGAAAUCUCUUGUCCCGGCUAUGACUGAGAAAGGAACAAAGAGCAUCGUUACAGACAUGAUUCCAGAAGCACGUGCUGGAAGGUCAACGCGAAAACCUGCUCUUGCUAUUGUUAAUAGUAAGAAGAAUGAUCACUGUGAAGCAGCCAUCAGUGAGAAGUGUUCAAGUGCUAAGAGUGAAGACUUGGAGAAGCAACAAACAGUCAAGCAACCUGUUAGACAGUUAACACGGAAAUCAUUUGUUCCGGCUGUGCUUGAGAAGGACAGGAAGGCUGUACCUGCAGAAAUGAAUCCUGAUGCACAGUUCAAUAAUGAGAAUGGUGAUCACACUAAAAUGAAAUGUGCUAAGGGUGGACACUUGGAGAAACAACUAGUAGUGAAAGAACCAUCUAGGCGAUCAACACACAAAUCUGUUGCCCCACAUGUGAUUGAGAAAGAAAUUAAGGGUUUACAAGAAGAAUCAAAGUCUGAAGUUCCUGUGAGCACAUCUGUGCGUAAACUAUCUUGUCCUAACGCGGUUGAUAAGGAGAGCAAGGAUCACAGAGAAAUUGUCCCUCAUGUGAUUGAGAAAGACAUUAAGGGUUCUCAAGAAGAAUCGAAGUCAGAUGUUCCUGUGAGGACAUCAGUGCGUAAACCGGCUGGUCCUAAUGCGGUUGAUAAGGAGAUUAAGGAUCACAGUGAAAUUGUCAGGAGGGAAGAGUCAAGUGUUCGCACAAGAAGUGCACAAACAAAACUCCAACGUUCUGUUCAGAAUGAUGCGAGUCUGCGGCAAACAAGACACAGAUCUUCGAAGCUAGCGAUAUCACCGCUACCGUCAAAGCCAACAGCUUCAAAGGGAAGACCUGCAAAGAGGAGUAGAACAGCAUCUUUGGAAGAAGUCAUGCCUGCUGAAGAGCAGAAGGAAGACCAAAUUGCUUAUGGUGGCCACACGAGUGAUAUGAUUGAUGUUGCCAGUAGUGCUAAUAGCUUGGAAAGUGGGGUGCUGCCUUCCCCAGCUGAAAAAUCUGAUUUGCGUGACGCACAGCUUAACACUCAGCUGGAGGGCACAGUCGUUGAAUCCAGCAUCAGCCAUGGUAAAGAUGGUAGUAACAUUCUGGAGUUCGAGCUUGAGAGCACAGUAGUAGGUACCACUGAGAAGCCUCCGUCCGAUUUAGCUAUUCCGGACUGUACACAUGUAGGUGCUUUAUCUGAGGAAGCCCUGGACUCAAUAGAAAAUGCUGCUGCAAGGUGCUCACCAGUUCUUGAACAAUCACCCACUGGGCUACAGUUCCUAUUCUCACAGGGAAACAUAGAAGAACCUGAUACACAUAACACUAGUCCAUUUUUUAAAAAUGUCAUGGAAGAAUCAGAUGUUCACAAGGUUGAACGUCAAGUUGAAACAGUUGUUUCAUUAAAACCUUGCUCAUAUCAAGGCUCUGAUGAAUAUUCAAUCAGAGUCGAAGAAAGUGGAGGUUUAAUGUUUUCGUCUCAGCAAAACAAUGAACAAGAAGGAUUUUCAGUGUCCACCCUCAGAAAAGAUUGGGUUGCAUCUGUUCAGUUGGAUUCGUCAGAGGAUGUGCAUCAUACAGUAAGGGAUAUUACUAGAAAGGACGUGAUCUGCAACGAGGAAGAGAAAACGGACUUUAUUCCUUCAGACAUUAAUGCUCCCCAUGAGAAAUCACAUGCGGAUAAACCUGCUGAGCACGUCUCUGGUGUUAGUGGAGCUCUAUUUUGCAUUUCACAGAGCACCACUGUUGUUGAUGAAGUAAAUUCGGAUUCUUCACUGCUAGAAUCAGUGGAUGCUUUAGAUAAUCAGAUAGCAUCUUCUAAUACUGAAGGGCUUCAACAGGAUAAUAUAGAGGAAUGCAAUCUACACAAUGCAAGAGUCACGGAAGACAUCCAUGCAAGUGUCAUGUUUGAAGCUGCACAGGUUGCUGUACCAGAAAGUGGAAAAAUGCUGCAGCCAGAUGUAGAAACAUUAGUAUUGCCAGAUGAGCAGCUUAAGCACAAGCUGGAGGGUGAUGAUCACGAAGUACAAAGCUUUAGCCGCGGUGAAGAUGAAUCUCCAAAACAAUCUACAUCAUGUGAGGAUCAAAGCUUUUUAGGGUCAGGUAUUUGUCAAACUGUUUCGCGAAGGUAUACAGAUGUAGUUUGUGUCAAGGAUCAUAAAGAUGACUGCAAUCAACACAGUGAAGGUCAACUUACUUUAGGCAACCUAGAAAGUGACAUGUCUGAACCUGCACUUGAUGAACGAUCUGAAAGUGGAAUGUCAGUGCUCCGAGCUGAAGAAACAUCACCAUUUCCAGAUGAGCAGCUUAACACCAAGCUGGAGGGCAACACAGAACAAAGCCUUAUCUGUGAUAAAGACAGCAGCAAUGUUUCUCUCACUGAAUUUUUGGGAAACAAUCAUCUGUCUAGCUUGAAGGACCCUACAAUGGAUCCUUGCCAUGACCAGGAGCUCCCAAAUGACAUGCCUGCACCUAAAUCUCCUGAAGAAUCUGCAGUUUUUCUGGAUGACAAAGUCUCGGGUUCAGUGCAAAACCUUAGGUGUGAUAAAGAUGGUAGCAUCGUCUCUGACACUGGAUCUUUGGGAAACAAGAAUCUGUCCAGCAUGAAGGACCCUUCAAUGGAUCCUUGCCAUGUCCAGGAACUCCCCUGUGGCCCUUCAAUGGAUCCUUGCCAUGACCAGGAACUACCCGGGGACAUGCCUGCACCUAAAUCUCCUGACGAAUUUGCAGUUUCUAUGGAUGAGAGAGUCUCUGGUUCAGUAGGGAUUUGUCAAAUUAGUGCGAGCAUAGGCAAAGGAAACCACAUUGCUAUGGAUCCCCACCAUACCGUGAAGCAAGUGGAUAACCUGAACCAAUCUGCAGCUGCCUUGCUGAGAAACAUGGAGAACACACCUUGUAAGCCUGAUGCUCUUGAGCCUAGCAGUGAUCACUUGUUUGUGAUUGAUCCAUCAACACCUAUGGAGCCUCUACUGACGGAAGCAGGACUUAAAGUGGGCAGUCCUGACAAGAAACUACCUAUGGAGCAGGUUCAGCAAGAUGAUUUACAAGUGCAAGAAGGUACCGUAGAGAAGACACCAGAGUGUAAACAUGAAUGUGUAUCACCUGAUAAAGCAGGACCACACUCAUUGAAGAAUGAGGGAUAUCCAUCAAGUAUUGAACAAUCAUUAUUUGAUCAGCAGUCCCUUUCUUCGCAGGAGGAUGUACAAGUACAGGAAGAUACCCUAGAGAAGACAGCACUAGGUUCAACUACACCAGAGUGUAAAGAUGAAUAUGGAUUUCCUGAUGAAGCAGAUCCACACUCAUUGAAGAACAAGAGAGGUUCAUUGAUUGUUGAACAAUCACCAUGUAGUCUGCCGACCCUUUUCACGCAGGAAAGUGUAGAAGAACGCAGUGAAUGUGUUGUCCUUUCUUCAGCAAGAGUUCAGGCUGAAAAUGGAGUUUGUGAGUCAAAUCCUGGUUCAGACCAUGAUACUAGUGCGGACUUUAGUGCAGUUUCCAAAAGUGAAGAUUGUUUGGAUACUUCUCAGCAAGAUAAUGAAAAUGAAGGAUUAUCGGAGGCUAGUCAUGAACAAGAUGAUUUCCAUGUACAAGAAGGUACCGUGGAGAAGACAACACUAGGUUCAGAUUUACCAGAGUGUAAACAUGAAUUUGGAUUACCUGCUGAAGCAGAACCCCACUCAUUGAUGAAUCAGAGAUCAAGUAUUGAGCAAUCGGCAUUUGGUCCGCAGUCCCUUAUCUUAAAGGAGGAAGGACAAGGCACUGUAGAGAAGAAAGCAGUAGAUUCAGCUACACCAGAGUGUAAACAUGAAUGUGUAUCACCUGAUAAAGCAGGACCACACUCAUUGAAGAAUGAAAGAUAUCCAGCAAGUAUUGCACAAUCAUCGUUUGAUCUGCAGCCCUUUUCCUUGCAGGAUGAUGUACAAGUACAUGAAGGUACCCUAGAGAAGACAGCACUAGGUUCAGCUACACCAGAGUGUAAAGAUGAAUAUGGAUUUCCUGAUGAAGCAGAUCCGCACUCAUUGAAGAAUGAGAGAGGUUCAUUAGGUGUUGAACAACCACUUAGUUUGCCGGCCUUUUUCUCACAGGAAAGCAUAGAAGAACCCAGUGAAUGUAUUGCCCUUUCUUCAGCAAGUGUUCAGGCUGAAACUGGAGUUAAUGAGUCAAAACCUGGUUUAGACCAUGAUACCAGUGUAGAUUUUAGUACAGUUUCCAAAAGUGAAGAUUGUCUGGUUACUUCUCAGCAAGAUAAUGAAAAUGAAGAAUUAACGAAGGCUAGUCAUCAACAAGAGCAGGUGGCAACUGGUCAGCUAGAUUUGGAGGCUGCAAGUAUCAUGGAGGACGUUGAUUCUGAGGAAGUAGCCUAUGAUGAAGAAAAUAAGAAGCCUGUUCAUCCUACAGACAUUAAUUCUUCGUGUCAAAAAAUAAAUGUCAGCGGACCUGUUGAGCAUGCUUCUGGUCUUGGUGAUGCUUUAUUGAGCCCCUCACUAAUUGCUUGUACCGAUGACAGUGAUGUGCAUCUGAGUUCUAAUCCUUGCCUGUUUGAAUCAACUGAUUUCCCGAAUGAAAUAGAUUGGUCCAAUACCGAGGCUUUGCAGCAGGGUCUCAAAAAGCAGCAAUGCGAUGAGCUAAAGGAAUACCAAGUUCCUUUUGGAGCCGGUAAUGAUAUGAUUGAAGCUGGCACAAAAGACAUAGACAGUGGAGUUCCACCACUUCGAGCUGAAGAAACAUCAAAUAUGCGAGACGAGCAGCUUAACACUAAGCUGCCGCGCACAGAAGUUGUGGAAUUUGGUCUUAGCUGUGACAAAGGCAGUAAUAAUUAUAUAGAUACUGAAUCUGUGUUGAACAGUGUUUGUACAAAUAUUCCGUCGGAUUUCAGUUUACCAACGGAUUGUUCCACAGAUGAUUACCAGCAAAUGGAGCUCUUUGAAGGCCCUGCUGAACAAAAAUCUCCCAAAGAUGCUUCUGUAUGCUGGGAGGACAGUGAUCCAAGAGCAGUGUCAGCCACCAUUGAGAAGCCUUCACCUUCAUUUGAUUUAGCAAUUCCAGAUUUUAAACAUGAAGGUGCUCUAUCAGUGGAAGCAGUGUACUCAAUGAAGAAUGACACUGAAAGCUGUUCACGAGAUCACAGACGAUCGUCCAUUGGGCUUCAUCACUUGUUCUCGCAGGAGUCAUUUAAAGGACCAGAUGUGCAUGAUGAUCUUGUGCUUCCAAGUACUGAGGAUGAAGAUGAUUCCAACACUCGCCAUGCUGAAAAAAUGGUUUCUUCAGAACCUGAUUCACAUCAAGGGUCUCCUGUAGAUUUAAGUAUAGUUGAAGAAAUUAAGGGUUUGUUUUCAUCUGAGAGAGACGAUGAACAAGGAUUCCUGAGUUCCGGCCACAAAACAGGAUGUAUUGGAUCUGCCCGGUUGGAUUCAUCAGAGGAUUGUAAUCUUGUGAAAAGGGAUAUUAAUACUGAGGUGAUCUGCAAGGAGGAAGAGAAACAGGAACUUGUUCCUUCUUCUGACACUCGCACCCUUCAUGAAACAUCAAUUACUGAUGAACCUGAUGAACAGAAAAUAACCCUGCUGCAAGCUGCGGAAACAUCGGCUUCAGCAGAUAAGCAGCUUAGCUCCGAGUUGGAGGAGGAUGAAUUUAAGGAACACAACUUUAGUAGUGAAGAAACGAUUGGCAUAUUUGGUGUUGGAUCGGUGAAGGGUAAUCUAUUCCAUUUACAUGAGGACUCUCAUACCAAUCCUAUCCAGGGAAAGGAGCUCCCAGAUAACCUAUCUGCACCCAAAUCUCCUGAACAAUCCACGUUUGGGCAGGCUGAGAGUCUUUUGGGAUCAGGCAUUUGUCAGGCUGUCGUUCAAAGGAGUACAGAAGAAAUCAACACCAAGCUCCAACAUGAGCGUAAAGAGGAAUGCAGUAAGUACAUUGAUGAUCAAACCACUCUCAUGUCUGAAUGUGCACUGUUUGGAGGAUCAGUAAGUGGAACGACACUGCUGCCAACUGCAGAAACAUCUUCAUUGCCAGAUGAGCAAUUUGGCCCUGAGCUCAAGUGCGAUGAAAUUGAGGAACCUGACCGUAGUUAUGAUGAAGAUGCAAGCUACUUAUUUGGUUCUGGGUCUCUGAAGAACAAUGUACCCAAUCUGGGUCAUAAGGAGGAAUACUAUGAGCACAGUGAUGAUCCAGCCAUACUAUCAGGUGGCAUGCCCAAGCCCUCACCAAUUAGAGAAUCAGAAAGUGGAGUGGCACUGCAGCCAGCUGAAGAAACACCAGCAUUGACAAAUGAGCACCUUAACUUUGAGAUGGAGGAACUGGGCCUUUGCAUUAGUGACAUGUCUGAUACUGGAUUAAUGGAGAACAACAAUCUAUCUUGCUUGUCCAAAGACACUUAUAUGGAAACGUGGAACGAAGAUGAGAUUUCAAUUGGCACACCUGCAGCUAAAUCUCCAGGAGAAUCUGCAGUUUGCCCAGAUGACAGGGUUCCUGGGUCAGUAGGAAUCUGCCAAACUAGUGGGCGACGACGCAUAGAUGAAAUUAGCACAAAGUUGCUGAGCUUCAAAAUUUCGAGUGCAGUCAAAGGAAAUUACAUUGCCAUGGACUCUGCUGAUGACCCGAAGCAAGGUGACAACCUGAGUCCGGCUGCUUUGCCAGGGAACUGGGAGAAUGUUCAUGCAGCCAAAGCAGAUAAUCCUGCAAAGCAAAACAGUGACUGCUCGGUUGCGAUGGACUCCUCAAGCUGA
rnacentral:rRNA from 1 species